UACGGGGGGGGUAAGCGUUGUUCGGAAUUACUGGGCGUAAAGGGCUCGUAGGCGGCCAACUAAGUCGGACGUGAAAUCCCUCAGCUUAACUGGGGAACUGCGUCCGAUACUGGAUGGCUUGGAUUUGGGAGAGGGAUGCGGAAUUCCAGGUGUAGCGGUGAAAUGCGUAGAUAUCUGGAGGAACACCGGUGGCGAAGGCGGGCUACUGGGCCGAUACUGACGCUGAGGCGCGAAAGCCAGGGGAGCAAACGGG
rnacentral:rRNA from 1 species